UACGGAGGGGGCUAGCGUUGUUCGGAAUUACUGGGCGUAAAGCGCGCGUAGGCGGCUUUGUAAGUUAGAGGUGAAAGCCCAGGGCUCAACCCUGGAAUUGCCUUUAAGACUGCAUCGCUUGAACAUCGGAGAGGUAAGUGGAAUUCCGAGUGUAGAGGUGAAAUGCGUAGAUAUUGGGAGGAACACCAGUGGCGAAGGCGGCUCAGUGGACUGGUACUGACGCUGAGGCGCGAAAGCGUGGGGAGCAAACGGG
rnacentral:rRNA from 1 species